UAUUGCACUUUCCCCGGCCCAU
rnacentral:miRNA from 1 species